ensembl:snoRNA
AUCGUUUUGUAGUUCAUGAGCAUGAUGAUUGGGUGUUUUCACGCGGUGUGUGAAAUGUGCCACUCUGGAGCAUUGUUAGGACAUCAGCACGUUACCCGUCUGACC